rnacentral:tRNA from 1 species
UGCGGUAGUUCAGUAGGUUAGAAUGCCGGCCUGUCACGCCGGAGGUCGCGAGUUCGAGUCUCGUCCGCAC